GAGCCGACCGGCGGGUACCGAUCGGGUACGAAAGAAGAGGCAUCUAAUACCAUCGCAACCGGGUGUUUGCUGACGCGGAGGCUUCACCCACCCACUGAUUCAUUCCCUCCCCCCUCAAUCAUUGCUGUGGCGCCCGAUGCCUAGUCGAUAAAAGCCCUUCGUUCACCCCCAAACCCCACCCACCCGCCACGACACCCGCCGUAUCGACAAAAGAGGAAACAACCAGAAGGGGGAGGAAUUCUCAGAGAGAUCUAUAACGAGCGAGGCAGCAAGCAACCUCUCUGUUUUGAGUUUUGACCCGAGAAAUGGAAGCUUCUCGACAGCCGGAAGCAGCGUCGAAGCCAUCGUCGAUGAUCGCAGCGAGAGGAGACGGCGAAGAAAUCGAAUCCCCCCAGCAGAGAAGCUAAGGUAGCUUCCCAUCUCCUCCUCCUCCUCCUUCAUCUUCGCUUCUCCACCAAAUCGGGAGAAAUUUUGAUUCUAGAUCCGUUUUCUUCGUCAUGUCGACUACGUUGAUUAGUAGCGGGGCUGAAGCCACCGUGGUGGCGGCGGCCGCAGUGGAGGUGGAGUUCGCGUCGUGCGACUGCUGCGGCCUCACGGAGGAGUGCACGCCGGCGUAUAUCGCGGUUGUGCGGGAGCGGCAUGUUGGGAGGUGGAUCUGCGGCCUCUGCGCGGAGGCCGUGCAGGACGAGAUCCGCCGCUCGGAACUCAUGAUCUCCACGGAAGAGGCCAUGGGCCGGCACGCCACCUUCUGCCGGAGCUUCAGGUCCGCCGAGGAGCCGGCGGUGGACCCGGCGGAGCAGCUGAUCGCGGCCGUCAAACAUCUCCUCCGGCGGAGCCUCGAGUCACCGCGGGCGGUGCGGUCGACUCCGAGCAGCCCGCGGACCGGCGGUGGCCUUAGGCUCCGGUCCAACCUGGUCCGUACAGGGAGCGGCUUUCCGGAGCUGCUUGGUUGAGACUGAAACACAAACGUUGUCGAAAUCACAUGGAGGCCAAACAGACGAACGUGAAUAACAAGACAAAGAAGGAAAAAUUCCCAAAUUGCAACGAAGAGCCUAUCAACAAAUCAGCUUCAUGAUCCGGAGAAUAGCAUUUUAGGCCAAAAUUCUAGAUAAUUCAAGUUGCAGCUGAACUGAUUAACCUGGAGGUGGCUGACCGAAGUGAUCGGUCCAGAUUAAUCAGUUGGAUCCUACGAAUUUUUUUUGAUAAGGUCCUCUACGACGCCUUCUUAGGCCCCGUUGGUGAUUUUCAUAAAAUGGGAAAAAAAGGGGAAGAAAUGAGGAAGCAGAAUAGUCGCAUCUGUUCAGCUGUAAUUGUUAUGUAAUAGUUUGUUAUGGCGUUCCUUAUGUUUUUGUUAGUUUACAUUAAGUAUUCAGUUAUUCAUAAAUUUUGGAUACUA